rnacentral:rRNA from 2 species
CAUUAAGUUGGGCACUCUAAGGUGACUGCCGGUGACAAACCGGAGGAAGGUGGGGAUGACGUCAAAUCAUCAUGCCCCUUAUGACCUGGGCUACACACGUGCUACAAUGGACGGUACAAAGAGCUGCAAGACCGCGAGGUGGAGCUAAUCUCAUAAAACCGUUCUCAGUUCGGAUUGUAGGCUGCAACUCGCCUACAUGAAGCUGGAAUCGCUAGUAAUCGCGGAUCAGCAUGCCGCGGUGAAUACGUUCCCGGGCCUUGUACACACCGCCCGUCACACCACGAGAGUUUGUAACACCCGAAGUCGGUGGGGUAACCUUUAUGGAGCCAGCCGCCUAAGGUGGGACAGAUGAUUGGGGUGAAGUCGUAACAAGGUAGCCGUAUCGGAAGGUGCGGCUGGAUCACCUCCUUU